UUAUUUACACAGGUUGGUUUUUAAUUGGGAAUACUGUCCAGAGGCUGCUAAAAUAACAUCCUUAUACAUAGAUACAGUGAGCGGAGCCCGGCAGAGCCCGGCGGGAUUGUCGGUGGAGGAGGGGGAGGGAGGUGACUUGUAGCCGAGGGGCGAUGCUGCCCUCCUGCCACCCCUGCGCUCCGUUAGGGCUCUCAGGAGUGCUGCUCCUGGGAUUUUCCUCCUUUUCCUCAGUCCCGGCCGCUGCCAGGGCAGGGGGCUCCAGUGCCCAUCCCCACGACCCCAGUGCUCGUCCCUGGGGACCCCCUGCAUAUCCCCACAGUCCUGGUGUCUCCCUGGCCCCACAGUGCAACCCAGAGCUCCUCAGUGUGUUCCCACAGCCACCCAGGUGUGUCCCCUGCACAUGUCCCCAUAGCCCCGGCUCUGUCCCUACAGCCCCGCUGUGGCACUGGAUGGGGGCACAGAGGUCACCCAUCCACAGGGAGCGACUGGAGUAGCACUGGAGGUAUCCCAGGGGGCUGGACCACCUGGACUGGGGGUCCCUCUGCAGGCCCACCCCCCUCCCAGGGGGUCGAGGCACUUCCCACACACCCCAAUUCUGGCACCUGGGCCCGGCUGGCAGCAGGAGUGGGGGUGUCCCCCGGGUUUGGGGCUGGCAGGCCCUGUGCCCGUGGGCGUAAUCCAGUCCUGGAUGGAUCCGUGUCCACAUCCACAAGGACACACCGGGAUCCUGGCCUGCGAGCCGGGGCUCUCCUGCCCUGGGGGUGGGAGGCGGGGGGGCUCUGAGUGAAGGUGAGUGACCCCAGACCCUUUCCUGGGGGUUGGGCAUCCCAGUGCCAGCUCAGCAGCCUGUCCUCUCCCAGAGCAGCCCCCCAGCCUGGGGACAGCACCCUGGGAGCAGCCCCUGGGAUGAGCCCCGGCCCCCACGAGCUCUGCCCGGCUUCUCCUGCACCAUUUCCACCUGCUGCCACCUCAGACUGGCACAGGUCACCCGUCAGCAAACAGGAACCGCCAGCGGGACAUCCUGGUCCCCCAAACGGGUUCUGGUCCCCAUCUCCCCCUCCAAAGCCUCUCCUCUGCAUCCCUUCCCUGUUAAUAAAUGAGCUGCCACCGUUGGCAGAGCCAGAGCUGGUGCCAGCCAAGCUGGAGCGGGUGGGGUUUUCCUGGGUGGGAUCAGCCCCUGGGUGAGCAGGAUGGGGACACACGGGGACACAGCCCCACCUCAGCUUGUCCCUGGGUGUCCAUCAGUGCGAGGGGACGGUCCAUGAGAACCACCCAAACCUGGAACAUUCCCAGUUCUGUCCAAUCCUUGCUGCUGGGAACAGCGAUGCUUCAGCACAGCAAGACCCAGCCGGGGCCAGCAGCGGGUUGGGGUGACUCGCUGGUCCCCAGCUGUCCCCACAUCCCCACAUGUGUCCCAAACACAGUCCCCGCGGGGCUGGGGGUGUCACAGGACCCUCACUGGGGCACCAUCAGGCUUGGAUUUUCCCCACUGCCUUGUCGGCCGCCGCUGUCACCGCCAUGGGGCUGGGGACGUAGUUGAAGGGGGUGACACGGGCGGCCUUGCUGGGGGAGCCGUGGCGGCUGCCGGGGAAGGUCCCGGUGGGCACCUCGUGGCCGAAGGAGAUGGGCAGGGCGGCCUUGGCGGGCGCGGGGGCUUCGCCAUCCCCGGUGACACGGGGGUGCGGGGGUCCCUCGCGUGUCUCCAGCGUGGGAGAGGUGCUGGAGUUGGUCUUGGAGGUGGCGAAGUCCUCGGUCUGCACCACGGCGUCGCUGGUUUUCCUGGGCGUGCCGGGGGUACCGGGGGGCUCCUCGUCGCCAGAACCCGCCAGCGGCAGCGCGGAGGAGGGCAGCGUGCUCUUGAGGAUGUGCGGGAUGUCCUCGUCGCGGAUCCUCCGCCACGUUCCCUUCAUCAUCACCACCGGCGGCUUGGCCGGCGGCCCGCCGGGAACCGGCUCGUUCUGCCGCCGCCGCGCCGCCGCCUCGGAGCGCACGGAGGACGGGCUGCCCGCCCGCCGCGCCACGCUGAUGUUGGGCGAGGACGAGUAGCGCUUGAAGGGCUCAGCCGCGGGCACGCCGCUCUUCACCGGCAACCGGGACGGGCUCUCGGAGCUGGUCCGGCGCGGCGGUUUGGCCCCGGCCGUGGCUUUGGCACCGGGCUGGGCUCGGGGGAUGAGCGGCCGCUGGCCGGGGCUGGCCGGUUUGGCGGCUUUGAGCUCGUCGCAGCGGGAGGAGCAGAGGAACACGGCCGGGAGCGCGGCUCGGCUGCGCUGGGGGGAGCCCCGGCGGGGCAGCGAGGUGGCCGGGGGC
rnacentral:lncRNA from 1 species